rnacentral:lncRNA from 1 species
GGGUGAGGCCUCCAAGCAUUUUCUGAGGAACAUCUCCACUUGGCGCAGUUUAGACAGCCCUGCAGGACACAGCACGGCCUCGACUUUGUAUGGAGCUGGAGUUCCAUGCUUGCAGGAUUAAGCAUGAAAACAUCGUCGCCCUGGAGGACAUUUACGAAAGCCCCAACCACCUGUACUUGGUCAUGCAGCUGUAAGUACCUUGGUUAAUGGAUGAGUGCAGUCCAAGGGGUAGCAAACUCAACGCCCAAAGAAGCCAGGCGGUGAAGUAAAC